rnacentral:rRNA from 1 species
UACGGAGGGAGCUAGCGUUGUUCGGAAUUACUGGGCGUAAAGCGCACGUAGGCGGGUCUUUAAGUCAGGGGUGAAAUCCCGGAGCUCAACUCCGGAACUGCCUUUGAUACUGGAGAUCUUGAGUCCGGGAGAGGUGAGUGGAACUCCGAGUGUAGAGGUGAAAUUCGUAGAUAUUCGGAAGAACACCAGUGGCGAAGGCGGCUCACUGGCCCGGUACUGACGCUGAGGUGCGAAAGCGUGGGGAGCAAACAGG